UACGAUGAAGAGUUUGAUCCUGGCUCAGGAUGAACGCUAGCGGCAGGCUUAACACAUGCAAGUCGAGGGGUAUAAGUCUUCGGAUUUAGAGACCGGCGCACGGGUGCGUAACGCGUAUGCAAUCUACCUUUCACAGAGGGAUAGCCCAGAGAAAUUUGGAUUAAUACCUCAUAGUAUACUGAGUUGGCAUCAACAUAGUAUUAAAGUCACAACGGUGAAAGAUGAGCAUGCGUCCCAUUAGCUAGUUGGUAAGGUAACGGCUUACCAAGGCUACGAUGGGUAGGGGUCCUGAGAGGGAGAUCCCCCACACUGGUACUGAGACACGGACCAGACUCC
rnacentral:rRNA from 1 species